CCGGCGAUGUCCGAAUGGGGAAACCCAGUGCAAUUCGUUGCACUAUCGUUAACUGAAUACAUAGGUUAACGAGGCGAACCGGGGGAACUGAAACAUCUAAGUACCCCGAGGAAAAGAAAUCAACCGAGAUUCCCCCAGUAGCGGCGAGCGAACGGGGAGCAGCCCAGAGUCUGAAUCAGCUUGUGUGUUAGUGGAACGGUCUGGAAAGUCCGACGGUACAGGGUGAUAGUCCCGUACACCAAAAUGCACAGGUUGUGAACUCGAAGAGUAGGGCGGGACACGUGGUAUCCUGUCUGAAUAUGGGGGGACCAUCCUCCAAGGCUAAAUACUCCUGACUGACCGAUAGUGAACCAGUACCGUGAGGGAAAGGCGAAAAGAACCCCGGCGAGGGGAGUGAAAAAGAACCUGAAACCGUGUACGUACAAGCAGUGGGAGCACCUUCGGGUGUGACUGCGUACCUUUUGUAUAAUGGGUCAGCGACUUAUAUUCUGUAGCAAGGUUAACCGUAUAGGGGAGCCGCAGGGAAACCGAGUCUUAACUGGGCGUUAAGUUGCAGGGUAUAGACCCGAAACCCGGUGAUCUAGCCAUGGGCAGGUUGAAGGUUGGGUAACACUAACUGGAGGACCGAACCGACUAAUGUUGAAAAAUUAGCGGAUGACUUGUGGCUGGGGGUGAAAGGCCAAUCAAACCGGGAGAUAGCUGGUUCUCCCCGAAAGCUAUUUAGGUAGCGCCUCGUGAACUCAUCUUCGGGGGUAGAGCACUGUUUCGGCUAGGGGGUCAUCCCGACUUACCAACCCGAUGCAAACUACGAAUACCGAAGAAUGUUAUCACGGGAGACACACGGCGGGUGCUAACGUCCGUCGUGAAGAGGGAAACAACCCAGACCGCCAGCUAAGGUCCCAAAGUCAUGGUUAAGUGGGAAACGAUGUGGGAAGGCACAGACAGCCAGGAUGUUGGCUUAGAAGCAGCCAUCAUUUAAAGAAAGCGUAAUAGCUCACUGGUCGAGUCGGCCUGCGCGGAAGAUGUAACGGGGCUAAACCAUGCACCGAAGCUGCGGCAGCGACACUAUGUGUUGUUGGGUAGGGGAGCGUUCUGUAAGCCUGCGAAGGUGUGCUGUGAGGCAUGCUGGAGGUAUCAGAAGUGCGAAUGCUGACAUAAGUAACGAUAAAGCGGGUGAAAAGCCCGCUCGCCGGAAGACCAAGGGUUCCUGUCCAACGUUAAUCGGGGCAGGGUGAGUCGACCCCUAAGGCGAGGCCGAAAGGCGUAGUCGAUGGGAAACAGGUUAAUAUUCCUGUACUUGGUGUUACUGCGAAGGGGGGACGGAGAAGGCUAUGUUAGCCGGGCGACGGUUGUCCCGGUUUAAGCAUGUAGGCUGGUUAUCCAGGCAAAUCCGGAUAAUCAAGGCUGAGGUGUGAUGACGAGGCACUACGGUGCUGAAGUAACAAAUGCCCUGCUUCCAGGAAAAGCCUCUAAGCAUCAGGUAACAUCAAAUCGUACCCCAAACCGACACAGGUGGUCAGGUAGAGAAUACCAAGGCGCUUGAGAGAACUCGGGUGAAGGAACUAGGCAAAAUGGUGCCGUAACUUCGGGAGAAGGCACGCUGGUGUGUAGGUGAAGCCCCUGCGGGUGGAGCUGAGACCAGUCGAAGAUACCAGCUGGCUGCAACUGUUUAUUAAAAACACAGCACUGUGCAAACACGAAAGUGGACGUAUACGGUGUGACGCCUGCCCGGUGCCGGAAGGUUAAUUGAUGGGGUUAUCCGUAAGGAGAAGCUCUUGAUCGAAGCCCCGGUAAACGGCGGCCGUAACUAUAACGGUCCUAAGGUAGCGAAAUUCCUUGUCGGGUAAGUUCCGACCUGCACGAAUGGCGUAAUGAUGGCCAGGCUGUCUCCACCCGAGACUCAGUGAAAUUGAACUCGCUGUGAAGAUGCAGUGUACCCGCGGCAAGACGGAAAGACCCCGUGAACCUUUACUAUAGCUUGACACUGAACAUUGAGCCUUGAUGUGUAGGAUAGGUGGGAGGCUUUGAAGCGUGGACGCCAGUCUGCGUGGAGCCAACCUUGAAAUACCACCCUUUAAUGUUUGAUGUUCUAACGUUGGCCCCUUAUCGGGGUUGCGGACAGUGUCUGGUGGGUAGUUUGACUGGGGCGGUCUCCUCCCAAAGCGUAACGGAGGAGCACGAAGGUUAGCUAAUCCUGGUCGGACAUCAGGAGGUUAGUGCAAUGGCAUAAGCUAGCUUGACUGCGAGCGUGACGGCGCGAGCAGGUGCGAAAGCAGGUCAUAGUGAUCCGGUGGUUCUGAAUGGAAGGGCCAUCGCUCAACGGAUAAAAGGUACUCCGGGGAUAACAGGCUGAUACCGCCCAAGAGUUCAUAUCGACGGCGGUGUUUGGCACCUCGAUGUCGGCUCAUCACAUCCUGGGGCUGAAGUAGGUCCCAAGGGUAUGGCUGUUCGCCAUUUAAAGUGGUACGCGAGCUGGGUUUAGAACGUCGUGAGACAGUUCGGUCCCUAUCUGCCGUGGGCGCUGGAGAAUUGAGGGGGGCUGCUCCUAGUACGAGAGGACCGGAGUGGACGCAUCACUGGUGUUCGGGUUGUCAUGCCAAUGGCACUGCCCGGUAGCUAAAUGCGGAAGAGAUAAGUGCUGAAAGCAUCUAAGCACGAAACUUGCCCCGAGAUGAGUUCUCCCUGAGACUUUAAGUCUCCUGAAGGAACGUUGAAGACGACGACGUUGAUAGGCCGGGUGUGUAAGCGCAGCGAUGCGUUGAGCUAACCGGUACUAAUGAACCGUGAGGCUUAACCUU
rnacentral:rRNA from 1 species